rnacentral:lncRNA from 1 species
UUGUCUCUAUGGGUCCCUUAUGGGUUUGCUAUAUGGUCUCUACACUGUGUCUCAAUGUUUCUCUGUGGGUCUCUGUGGGCUCGAUGGUGUCUCUGUUGGUUUCUGUAUUGGUUCCCUAUAGGUCUGCUAUGGUCCCUAUGUGUUCUAUGGGGUCCUAUGUGUCCCUAUGGGUCCCCAUUGGUCCCUAUGGUUCUCUAUGUGUCUCUAUGGGACCCUAUGGUUUUCUAUGUGUCUCUAUGUGUCUCUAU